CCGCCUCGGCCGCCCCGGGAGCGGCACCGACCCGUCUGGGACACCGGGCCCCGGGAAUCGGAACACGGUAACGAAAAGAGCCCCAACAGAGAUGCCUUAAAUGAAGUUUUCUCUCACUCUUCAGCAGUGUGAUAUGAACCCAAGUACUCCACACUUCCAAAUUCAGAAAAACAGGCACCUGCUGUAAUGAUCCACUUGUGCUCAGUAGUGUUACAGUAUUUCUUUUGCUUGUACCCUCUACAAAGUGCAGUAAUUUGUUUUCUGCAGGUUGAUGGCUGUGAGAGCACUGAGAUGUUCCCCUCACCUAGAAGAUCUGAAAGGGUUUCGCGCCAUCUCGGGCGGAUUUCCUGUGAGGUAACAAAUCUUAACUGAUUUACAAUCCCAACCUCCCGUCUACAGCCCACCAGAAUGUAGCUAGCUUCAAGAGAAUGCGGCAAAUUAACCGCCAACAGACGAGACACUUCCAGGAGGGCAGGGAUCAUGUCUACUCGCUGUACUGUCCUCUCCCGAGCACGGUGCUGUACACAGAUUACAGAAUUUUAUUUUUUAAGAAAUCUGUUUUGAUGCCUUGUCUGGAGAAGACGUGGAUUUGGAGGCAUAGCGGAAGAUGCUGGGGGAGGAGAUGGAAAUGAAUCCCCAAAGACCCCUUAAGUAUGCAAUAAAAGAGAAAAUCCUUCAGGACUAAGUUAAGGUUUGGCUUCUGAAUUACAGAUUUCAUUUUAAAAGGACUGUAUUUUAUUAAAUAUACUAUUCUGUUUAAAUAAAUGUGCAUAAAAUAAAAAAAACUUUUCUUGCAAGCGAGUAAACGUAGGUCCACAUUUCAUCUUUUUUUUAUUUUAUUUAAUAAAAGAUCAAGAGUCCUGUUUGCACACCAUAUGUCCUGCUUAAUAAUGGUACUUGGUCAUGAAGACAAAGAAUAAUAAAUAGACCACCUUUCUGCCUAUUUUCUCAGUGGUUUCUCUGAGCAC